GAGACAGGUAGUUCAGACAGGUGAGACAGGUAGUUCAGACAGGUGAGACAGGUAGUUCAGACAGGUGAGACAGGUGAGACAGGUAGUUCAGACAGGUGAGACAGGUAGUUCAGACAGGUGAGACAGGUAGUUCAGACAGGUAGUUCAGACAGGUGAGACAGGUGAGACAGGUAGUUCAGAAAGGUGAGACAGGUAGUUCAGACAUGUGAGACAGGUAGUUCAGACAGGUAGUUCAGACAGGUGAGACAGGUAGUUCAGACAUGUGAGACAGGUAGUUCAGACAGGUGAGACAGGUGAGACAGGUAGUUCAGACAUGUGAGACAGGUAGUUCAGACAGGUGAGCCAGGUAGUUCAAACAGGUGAGACAGGUGAGACAGGUAGUUCAGACAGGUAGUUCAGACAGGUGAGACAGGUAGUUCAGACAGGUGAG